rnacentral:rRNA from 1 species
GACGUAGGGCGCGAGCGUUGUCCGGAUUUAUUGGGCGUAAAGAGCUCGUAGGCGGUUUGUCGCGUCGUCCGUGAAAACCUGCGGCUCAACUGCAGGCUGGCGGUCGAUACGGGCAGGCUGGAGUUCGGUAGGGGAGACUGGAAUUCCUGGUGUAGCGGUGAAAUGCGCAGAUAUCAGGAGGAACACCGAUGGCGAAGGCAGCUCGCUGGGACGGUACUGACGCUGAGGCGCGAAAAGCGUGGGGGAGCGAACAGGG